ACAAUGGAGAGUUUGAUCCUGGCUCAGGAUGAACGCUAGCGGCAGGCUUAACACAUGCAAGUCGAGGGGCAGCAUUCGGGUAGCAAUACCUGAGAUGGCGACCGGCGCACGGGUGCGUAA
rnacentral:rRNA from 1 species